AUUGAACGCUGGCGGCAUGCCUUACACAUGCAAGUCGAACGGCAGCACGGGAGCAAUCCUGGUGGCGAGUGGCGAACGGGUGAGUAAAGUAUCGGAACGUGCCCAGUCGUGGGGGAUAACGUAGCGAAAGUUACGCUAAUACCGCAUACGAUCUAUGGAUGAAAGCGGGGGAUCGCAAGACCUCGCGCGAUUGGAGCGGCCGAUAUCAGAUUAGGUAGUUGGUGGGGUAAAGGCUCACCAAGCCGACGAGCUGUAGCUGGUCUGAGAGGACGACCAGCCACACUGGGACUGAGACACGGCCCAGACUCCUACGGGAGGCAGCAGUGGGGAAUGUUGGACAAUGGGCGCAAGCCUGAUCCAGCCAUGCCGCGUGCAGGAUGAAGGCCUUCGGGUUGUAAACUGCUUUUGUACGGAACGAAAAGGUUUGACUUAAUACGUUGGACUCAUGACGGUACCGUAAGAAUAAGCACCGGCUAACUACGUGCCAGCCGCCGCAGUAA
rnacentral:rRNA from 1 species